rnacentral:rRNA from 1 species
AUGGAGACGAUUGAGGCACGGGUCGGAGAGCAGUUGCAGAUGCUACAAAACGUGGGUGACAAGCUGAGUAAGCUCGAUGAUCUCUUUCGUCGAUUGGAUUCUUUGGAUCAGCAGUUUGCAGCGCAAGCCGUGCAGAUGCACAUUGUACAGAACAACGUCAGUCUCACGAUGAAGUCAAUCGGAGAAAUCAGACAGGAGCAGGCAGCGGCUGCUCGGGAAGUGGGUUCCAAACAAUCCCCUCAGGGUUCGUUUGCAGGUGAUGGAAUCCUUGGUAUGCCACCACAGCAGCAACGUCCACCAGUUACACCAGUUCCACCACCGGUGUUUGUACCUCAGCCUGUACAUCACGAAGCAGAGCAUUCUGGGGCAGAAGUUCAGUUGAAGAAACCGUGGAUGCCCAAAAUGGAUUUUCCCCGUUUUGAGGGAGAGGAUGUUCGUAUCUGGCUAGAUGGAUGUGAGGCCUACUUCUCACUGUAUGCUAUCCCUGAAGAAUUCAAGGUCACGUCAGCUACGCUGCACCUGUCUGGUGAUGCAGCAAAUUGGUUCCAUGCAUACAAGGCUCUGCAUCAGUGGCCGUGCUGGAAUGAGUUUAGGAUGGCAGUUAUGCAGGAGUUUGAUGUGAAUGUUCAUCGCACAAAGAUGAGAGCUCUGUUGUUACUUAAACAGACCGGAUCAGUGGCUGAGUACAAACGGGAGUUCACCCAACUAGUGUAUCAACUUUUGUUGUAUGAACCGACAGUGAGUGACACAUUUUUGGUGACGAGGUUCACUCUGGGCCUCAAGGAAGAACUCCGGGCUGCUGUUGAUAUGCAGCUACCCACUACUGUUAGUGAAGCAGCUUCAUAUGCAUUGAUCCAGGAAGAGAUUGUACAACGUGCUCGCUCUAACAGAAGUUUUACUACCAGAACUGCCUUCUUCAAGCCGGACACACGCCCAAGCACUCCAACAGCUGGAGAGCUAUGGAAAGCAAGGCAGUUGAAGGAGUAUAGGCACUAA